AAUUCUAACCGAGCAGAGACCUAACUUUGACACCAAUCUUUUUGCCUUAUAGAAAGAAUCAGAAACCUCCAAGCCGGGGUCAACUAACUCUUUAAUAAGGUCUAUCAUUGAGUCCAUUCCGCCUUUAGUAAUAUUCUAGUCAGAUGUAAUACUUAAUAAUCUAACAGCAGCAGAAAAAUGAGAGUGCGAACACCCGUUAAACAACUGAUGACUAACAGCAUGCAAUUCUUUGUAGAAAUUGCCCGCUUCGCUAUUAGGAGCAUUUUCAACAUUUUCCCUAAACUCAACCCCGUGUUGCAUCCCAAAAAUAUCGUGCACCAUUUCUGUCAUCCAAGUAUCUUGAUAUUCAUUAUGCCCUGCGG
rnacentral:lncRNA from 1 species